GUACUGUAUAGCAGCAUAAUUAAAUCAAUUGAUAUAAUUUAACAAUAAUAUUGUGUUACCGAUGUUUUUGACUCAUUGUUGAAGGUCGUAUGGUGACCACUGAGUGUCUUGUGGACAUUUCUUUCAUUGGGAAUCAUACCACAUCUUUUUUUUAAGUAACAUAUAUACGAUUUCUACCUUGUAAUUUAUUAAUUAUUAACAAGAUAGGCC
rnacentral:lncRNA from 1 species